UAUAUAUUAGUGUAAAAGCACAAAAAAUUUUGAUUUUUUAAGAGAUGGUGGAAAUCCGUUAUAUGUAU
rnacentral:tRNA from 1 species